rnacentral:misc_RNA from 1 species
AUCUGUUCUGGUGCAAUGGUUCUGCCCAGCACCAAAAAGGGGAAAGUAAAAAAGGAAAGCAACGAAUGUUAGCUGCAUAGCUUAUACAGAAUAGCAAGUUAAGAUCACAAGCAAUGUGAUUCUAGUUUAAGUUAUAGGAUUCUUCAAAUCUAAAUAUAUUUUUGAACUUGAUCUCUAACCAUUUAACAACCCUGAGAACACAUUCUAUUAAGGCAAAAAGAAUUUAAGUCUGAAAAGUAAGAGGCCUGAGUGAUUUAAAGAGCUAAAUGAAAUCACAAUUUAGAGCCAAUCCACUCAAAUGGGAGAAAAGUGGGGAAAAGAAAGAAAAAGAUAAAUAACAUUGAAAAGCUUUUAAAGAAGCUUGCUGAAAACAAGUUUAGUUUACCAACCAAUUAAAAAAGAUACAGUUUGAAUUGACAAAAGUAAGGAAUGGGGAAAUUAGGAGCUUGAAAAGUAUGCAAGGAAAUGGUCUUCGGCACAAAGGGAGCCCAAUAGCAUUAAGAUAUUAGGUAACCUAUAAAUAAGAGAACAUUAUAAGUAAAACACUAUGUUGCUAUUUAGUGAAAGCAAGAUUUUCUUACUAAUAAUUUAGAGUUGAACGGAUAGCUUUCAAAAUAAAAAAGCCUAACAUGUAAAAUUUCCCCUAAACUAAUUGGAGAAAGUCUAUUACACCCUAACCUUCUAUUUCAACCUAUUACGCACCCUUCAAAAAAUCAUAUGAUUAUCGAUUUCAAGCCCAGAUUCUUCCUCAGCCUCACUCAAAUUGAUAUUUGCCAUUUUCCCAAUAUUCACAAGAACAAAAUUCUCUUAUCUUCAACGGUACAAAUAUCAAGAACAAAGUAUACGAGAAGGAGAGCUCCAAGAUACUACAUAAAGACUUCUGAUCUUGAAAUCAAACCAAAAAAAAUCAAAUUGAUUGAGGAUAUGAUUUUUUCCCCUCUUGUAGAAGCAAGGAAAACUCCAAUCCAUUUGUUCUACUCGGAUUAAAUAUUUUUCAUCCAACUUUUCUGUCUUAUCAUUCCCUGUAUAUACUACUCAAUGAAAGCCAAAUCAAGCUAGAAAUUCUAGUGAUUGG